rnacentral:RNase_P_RNA from 1 species
GAAGCACGCCAGACUGCCGCUGGUGCAAGGGUGGAAACACCGCACUGGAGGAAGGUCCGGACUGCACAGGGCAGCGUAGCAGCUAACGGCUGUCCACCGUGAGGUGAGGAUCAGAGCUACAGAGACGAGCCGGUUAAGUCCGGGUGAAACGAGCAAUCUCUACGCGCAGCAAUACCAAGUAGGCACACGUUGACGGGGCCCCCGGAGUGUGCGGGUAGGUAGCACCGA